GUGCCUAUGGUGUAGCGGCAACACUGGAGAUUGUGGCUCUCCCGUCACCGGUUCGAAUCCGGUUAGGCACC
rnacentral:tRNA from 1 species